rnacentral:rRNA from 1 species
AUGGGUGAGUAACACGUGGGGUAACCUGCCCCUAAGUCUGGGAUACCAUUUGGAAACAGGUGCUAAUACCGGAUAAUAAAGCAGAUCGCAUGAAUCAGCUUUUGAAAGGCGGCGUAAGCUGUCGCUAAGGGAUGGCCCCGCGGUGCAUUAGCUAGUUGGUAAGGUAACGGCUUACCAAGGCGACGAUGCAUAGCCGAGUUGAGAGACUGAUCGGCCACAUUGGGACUGAGACACGGCCCAAACUCCUACGGGAGGCAGCAGUAGGGAAUCUUCCACAAUGGACGCAAGUCUGAUGGAGCAACGCCGCGUGAGUGAAGAAGGUUUUCGGAUCGUAAAGCUCUGUUGUUGGUGAAGAAGGAUAGAGGUAGUAACUGGCCUUUAUUUGACGGUAAUCAACCAGAAAGUCACGGCUAACUACGUGCCAGCAGCCGCGGUAAUACGUAGGUGGCAAGCGUUGUCCGGAUUUAUUGGGCGUAAAGCGAGCGCAGGCGGAAAAAUAAGUCUAAUGUGAAAGCCCUCGGCUUAACCCGAGGAACUGCAUCGGAAACUGUUUUUCUUGAGUGCA